rnacentral:rRNA from 1 species
UACGUAGGGUGCAAGCGUUGUCCGGAAUUAUUGGGCGUAAAGAGCUCGUAGGCGGUCUGUCGCGUCGGACGUGAAAAUCCAGGGCUCAACCCUGGACCUGCGUUCGAUACGGGCAGACUAGAGUUCGGUAGGGGAGACUGGAAUUCCUGGUGUAGCGGUGAAAUGCGCAGAUAUCAGGAGGAACACCGGUGGCGAAGGCGGGUCUCUGGGCCGAUACUGACGCUGAGGAGCGAAAAGCGUGGGGGAGCGAACAGG